AUAUCUCGCCUGAAGAAUCCUUCCGGCCAGUCGACGACAUCUACCGCAUCGUACACUCUCGACCUCGCUUCCUCGAUGUCCUUGCCCUUCGCAGUGACGCCAAGAACCCGGCCUCCGACAGCUACAAGGUUGCCGUCUCCAGCCAAAGCUGUCCCAGCAUGGAAUAUCUUGACAGCAGGAGAAACCUGCUCGGCCUUGUCGAUGUUUUUUAUUACGGUGCCCUUCUUAUAA
rnacentral:rRNA from 1 species